GACGAACGCUGGCGGCGUGCUUAACACAUGCAAGUCGAACGGAAAGGCCCUGCUUGCAGGGUACUCGAGUGGCGAACGGGUGAGUAACACGUGGGUGAUCUGCCCUGCACUUCGGGAUAAGCCUGGGAAACUGGGUCUAAUACCGGAUAGGAGCCAUCUUUAGUGUGAUGGUUGGAAAGUUUUUUCGGUGUAGGAUGAGCUCGCGGCCUAUCAGCUUGUUGGUGGGGUAAUGGCCUACCAAGGCGGCGACGGGUAGCCGGCCUGAGGGGGUGGACGGCCACAAUGGGGCUGGGAUGCGGCCCAGACUCCCACGGGAGGCAGCAGUGGGGAAUGUUGCACAAUGGGCGGAAGCCUGAUGCAGCGAAGCCGCGUGGGGGAUGACGGCCUUCGGGUUGUAAACACCUUUCGCUAGGGACGAAGCGUUGUGUGACGGUACCUAGAUAAGAAGCACCGGCUAACUACGUG
rnacentral:rRNA from 1 species